AGCCGAAACGCCCGCGAGGGCGUCGCCGGGGGGAGCCCUACCCGGCCUGACGAUGGCAGGGCACA
rfam:Firmicutes bacterium ASF500 genomic scaffold adhIg-supercont1.2, whole genome shotgun sequence.